ensembl:snoRNA
GAGCCAGCCAAUGAACCUGCUGCUCUGAAUGUGUUUCUGCAGAAAUUUAGAAAAAGCUAGCAACAGUGAUGCCAGGCCACAACCCUUAAGGACAACUGAGGUCAUUAAGGUCCCUGAAAAUAGCUGUAAUA